rnacentral:rRNA from 1 species
UACGAAGGUCCCAAGCGUUGUUCGGAAUCACUGGGCGUAAAGGGAGCGUAGGCGGCGUGGUAAGUCAGAUGUGAAAUCCCGGGGCUCAACCCCGGAACUGCAUCCGAUACUGCCGUGCUUGAGGGUUGGAGAGGUAGCUGGAAUUAUCGGUGUAGCAGUGAAAUGCGUGGAUAUCGAUAGGAACACUCGUGGCGAAGGCGAGCUACUGGACAACAUCUGACGCUGAGGCUCGAAGGCCAGGGGAGCAAACAGG